UCUCAGCUCUCCUAUGCCAUCCUUUAGGACAUACACUGAAUCUCUUUUCUGUCAGGUUUCAGUCUAUAUUUCUAAAGAAGGACUUCCUUGAGAAUGGUAUGGGAGUUCACUUCCUCAAAUAGAUCAGAAUUUAUUGUUGGAGGCAGAAAAAUUAGCUAAGCAUUACAAUACUAUAAGAUAGUUACUCUGGUGUUAGUCUUUGCACAGAUUGCUGUGGAGGAGACACAUUCAGAGAGACAAGGGGAGGUGAAGUGUUGUGGAGAGACAAUACAGAGAACCAAUAGGAGUAGUGACUUCCUUAAGGUCAGAUAGUUAACAGGAGAACAAAAGAGCAUCUCUAAUUCAUUAGCUGUAUUUGUUUCAAUAGAAGAGGGAUUAAAGCAUGAUUGGGGUUAAGGAAUAUUUCCCUGUAUUGCAUAAAGGUCUAGAGGAUCUGUGGCUUCUUUUUUUUUUUACAUUAAAAUUCAUGAAGUAAAAAAAAAAAUCACUAGAUAGGAAUCAGGAGAUCUGGGUCCUAAGAGGCCCCUUCACCCUUAUUUAUUGUGGAACCUUAGGAACUCAUUUAACUUUUCCAAGUUUUGAUUUGCUUUGUUGUAAAAUGAAAUACAGUUGGGAGGAGGUAAUAAGCAUCUAAGACCCCUUUCUGUUAUAACGUGUUUUGGUUCAGUGGUAUUCUUGCCUUAAGAAUUCUCACUGCAAUUUAUGUUUAAACCAGAGCACAUAUACAAUUAUAGGUAACAUCUGGUUGUUUUUUUUUUUUUUCUUUUCUUUUUUUUAAUACCAGAUAAGGCUAGAUGGCUGUGGUUUUAGGGUAGUUAUAUCAUGCGGAGCUUGACAUCGAUGGUAAGGUUCUCCUUAUGUUAAAACAAAAAUCCCAAAGGAAGCUGGGAAUAUAAUGUAAGGAGGAGUGAGGGACACAAAAAGGAAGAAUAAAAGAAGCCAGACAAAGAAGAAGGAAGAAGAAGGGAUGCUCAGAAGAAAAGGCAUCAGAAAGAAGGGUGACAGAGAUGGCGGCCCCCUCAGUUGGAUAGGGACUCAGUCAAAGUUUGUGAUGCUGACAAAGCCAAUGAGGAUAUUGUGAAUCUGCCAGAGUCACAUGCUGUUAAUACCGAGGCUUGGAUAGGCAGCUCCCACUGGCACUGGUACAACACACAGCACGCGGGACAGCCAGGGAUCGGUGGGGCCCACUCUUCCCUCCUGCUAUUUGCUAACACCUUUAUUGCCUCCAGUUAGUUACUCACACCAAUCUCAUUCCCAUCUGUCGAGGAGCGUUCCCUUCCAACAUUCUGUCCUCCUUCCCAUAUACGAGAAAAAGACCCUCCCAGUGUGACUGCAAAGUGCAAAAUGAUACUGAGCUCUGAAAUCAGGCAAGUUUGGAGUGGGGUUAGCAAUGAUUUUCUUGUUUCCUAGUCCUAAGGACUAAGCAGGUUGGAACUACAGGAUGCUACUCAGGACCCCUCUGCAGACACAGCUGGAGGAGAAGGAGCGAGAUGACUGUCUGGCUGGAGGCCCGUUUGCACUGCCCUGGAGGCAGGGCAUCCCAUUCAUGGUCACUGCCUAUUGAAAGUGCCAAACAGCUGUAUUCAGCUUCCAUCACAUCCACCACACAGAUGUGAACCCACCUAAGUCCUUGACCACUCUCAGUGGCUUUCUACUACUUUGCUUCUGCUUUACAAUCUCCUCUGCCCACUAUUCCUUGUCUGAGAGUCAGUCAAGGCAAGGGAUUACUAUUUGAGCAAGGGACUGCACUGAUAUGAAUGUCUGAUUAGGCAACCGAAGUUGCAGACCAGUGGGCUGUAAAUAAUUGGUAAUUGGGGUUUCUGGUGGACAAAAUUACCCAGUUAUUUUCUCUGCCUGCUAAGUUCUAUUCAUUCACUAAAUUCCUCCCACAUUUUCUCCUCUUGAGUACAUUCUUUCCGAUGUGGAUGUACAGAAAUGUUAACCUCCAGAGCCCCUGAAGAGGGAGGUCAGAGGUCACUGAGCAGAGCAUGACUGUCGUCAUGAAACAAGUCAUACUGUCCCAAUGCCACUUACCUGCAUCAACAUCUAGAAAGGAAAUCAAGCACUGAGUUUUGUCUGCCAGUGAGCCCCGCAAUGAAAAACAUCACAAUGCAAAUAUGUUGCACUUACAAAAUUAAAAAAAAAAAAAA
ensembl:lncRNA